rnacentral:sRNA from 1 species
UCAUGGACAAUUGGACCUACUGGCGGCGACGCAACACACGUGCCUCUUGAAAACGCUGCUGGCACCUGCACCUCCCAUUUUGGUGACAGCGUCCGUUAUGGUAGCCCCCACCGCUCUCUCAAGCCAAUUGGGUUCAACCAGAACGGAGUAGACUGGCGUCAGCGUCGCCUGAAGCAGAUUGUGGAGAAUGAUCCCUUUGGACUUGGCCUCAAUGACGAUGCGUGCGCCCCUUGUCCCCGUCGCGGUUGAGGCCUUUCUAUCAGCGCUCCUAACGCUUUGUGCGCAACGGCAGAUAUUUCUCAGACGACUUUAAGCUUAAUAUCGAACAUGUCAUGUUUCUUUCUUUGAUGCCGUCGAUGUCUCCAUCUUGUUUUUCACUUUUUUCCCUCCAAAUAUAAUCAUUCAAACUUCUAUCUCUGUGUAUCUUGGGAGUCAGAUUCAUGUAAUGAGCAUUUUGAUGUUCAGUACAUGGGAUUGGAUUUCUUUCGAUAUAGCUUUGAAUCAAAGAUAUAGGGUUCUUUCUCUUUUGACAUCUGUACGCUGCAUGCCUGCUCACUGAACACCUAGCCCCUUAUCACUGAGACGAAAAUAAAUAUAUUCUAAUGACUCCGUUUGUUUCUUCAUUAUAUGAUUCACACAAACAUGUUUCUUCCUAUUUUCAUGUUCAAUAGCAUCAUCUCAUUCCCCCAUCAUUGAAAGGUGGUUUUCUCAUCUUGUGACCGCCUAGGAUAGUGUCUUCAGUCUGAAAUGUAAUUGGAGAGAUGUUUGCAUAAAUAGAGGCACG